rnacentral:rRNA from 1 species
UUCGUGGCAUGGGAUGGGGUCGCGUCCUAUCAGCUUGUUGGCGGGGUGAGGGCCCACCAAGGCGUUGACGGGUAGCCGGCCUGAGAGGGCGACCGGCCACAUUGGGACUGAGAUACGGCCCAGACUCCUACGGGAGGCAGCAGUGGGGAAUAUUGCACAAUGGGCGCAAGCCUGAUGCAGCGACGCCGCGUGCGGGAUGGAGGCCUUCGGGUUGUAAACCGCUUUUGUUUGGGAGCAAGCCCUUCGGGGUGAGUGUACCUUUCGAAUAAGCACCGGCUAACUACGUGCCAGCAGCCGCGGUAAUACGUAGGGUGCGAGCGUUAUCCGGAAUUAUUGGGCGUAAAGGGCUCGUAGGCGGUUCGUCGCGUCCGGUGUGAAAGUCCAUCGCUUAACGGUGGAUCCGCGUCGGGUACGGGCGGGCUGGAGUGCGGUAGGGGAGACUGGAAUUCCCGGGUUUAACGGUG